rnacentral:rRNA from 1 species
UAGGGAAUCUUCGGCAAUGGACGAAAGUCUGACCGAGCAACGCCGCGUGAGUGAAGAAGGUUUUCGGAUCGUAAAACUCUUUUGUUAGAGAAGAACAAGGACGUUAGUAACGGAACGUCCCCUGACGGUAUCUAACCAGAAAGCCACGGCUAACUACGUGCCAGCAGCCGCGGUAAUACGUAGGUGGCAAGCGUUGUCCGGAUUUAUUGGGCGUAAAGCGAGCGCAGGCGGUUUCUUAAGUCUGAUGUGAAAGCCCCCGGCUCAACCGGGGAGGGUCAUUGGAAACUGGGAGACUUGAGUGCAGAAGAGGAGAGUGGAAUUCCAUGUGUAGCGGUGAAAUGCGUAGAUAUAUGGAGGAACACCAGUGGCGAAGGCGGCUCUCUGGUCUGUAACUGACGCUGAGGCUCGAAAGCGUGGGGAGCAAACAGG